GAUGAACGCUGGCGGCGUGCCUAAUACAUGCAAGUCGAGCGAACAGACGAGGAGCUUACUCCUCUGACGUUAGCGGCGGACGGGUGAGUAACACGUGGAUAACCUACCUAUAAGACUGGGAUAACUUCGGGAAACCGGAGCUAAUACCGGAUAACAUGUUGAACCGCAUGGUUCAACAGUGAAAGACGGUCUUGCUGUCACUUAUAGAUGGAUCCGCGUCGCAUUAGCUAGUUGGUAAGGUAACGGCUUACCAAGGCAACGAUGCGUAACCGACCUGAGAGGGUGAUCGGCCACACUGGAACUGAGACACGGUCCAGACUCCUACGGGAGGCAGCAGUAGGGAAUCUUCCGCAAUGGGCGAAAGCCUGACGGAGCAACGCCGCGUGAGUGAAGAAGGUCUUCGGAUCGUAAAACUCUGUUAUUAGGGAAGAACAAAUGUGUAAGUAACUAUGCACGUCUUGACGGUACCUAAUCAGAAAGCCACGGCUAACUACGUG
rnacentral:rRNA from 1 species